CCGCACGGGUGAGUAACACGUAUGCAAUCCACCUGUAACAGGGGGAUAACCCGGAGAAAUCCGGACUAAUACCCCAUAAUAUGGGCGCUCCGCAUGGAGAGCCCAUUAAAGAGAGCAAUUUUGGUUACAGACGAGCAUGCGCUCCAUUAGCCAGUUGGCGGGGUAACGGCCCACCAAAGCGACGAUGGAUAGGGGUUCUGAGAGGAAGGUCCCCCACAUUGGAACUGCGACACGGUCCAA
rnacentral:rRNA from 1 species